rnacentral:rRNA from 1 species
UACGGAGGGUGCAAACGUUGCUCGGAAUCAUUGGGCGUAAAGCGCACGUAGGCGGACUGUUAAGUCGGAUGUGAAAUCCCUCAGCUUAACUGAGGAAGUGCAUUCGAAACUGGCAGUCUUGAGUAUGGAAGAGGGUCGCGGAAUUCCUGGUGUAGAGGUGAAAUUCGUAGAUAUCAGGAGGAACACCGGUGGCGAAGGCGGCUCUCUGGCCCGAUACUGACGCUCAUGUACGAAAGCGUGGGGAGCAAACAGG